rnacentral:sRNA from 1 species
GUUUGGUAACGAACCUAUUUAUGCCAGUCAAUUUAAAGAAGUUCACUGUUUAGUGCUAUCACUGAUACCCCUUCAUUGCGAAUUCCUUCAGAUAAGUCACCAUAAGUAAAAUCGAACAAACCAUAAUUAUGCCUGUGGCAACUAAAAUUUAAAGGAAUUUAUAUGUCUGAUACAAUGACCGGUUCAGUAAAAUGGUUUAACGAAUCCAAAGGAUUUGGUUUUAUCACCCCUAAAGAUGGCAGCAAAGAUGUGUUUGUACACUUCUCUGCAAUCCAGAGCGACAGCUUUAAAACAUUAUAUGAAGGCCAGAAUGUAACCUUCACUAUCGAAAAUGGUGCUAAAGGCCCGUCUGCUGUAAAUGUAGUGGGACUCUGAGGCAACUUCAUCAUGAAGGCACUUUU